AGUGAACGCUGGCGGUGGGCCUAACACAUGCAAGUCGAACGGCAGCACAGUAAGAGCUUGCUCUUACGGGUGGCGAGUGGCGGACGGGUGAGGAAUACAUCGGAAUCUACUUUUUCGUGGGGGAUAACGUAGGGAAACUUACGCUAAUACCGCAUACGACCUACGGGUGAAAGCAGGGGAUCUUCGGACCUUGCGCGAUUGAAUGAGCCGAUGUCGGAUUAGCUAGUUGGCGGGGUAAAGGCCCACCAAGGCGACGAUCCGUAGCUGGUCUGAGAGGAUGAUCAGCCACACUGGAACUGAGACACGGUCCAGACUCCUACGGGAGGCAGCAGUGGGGAAUAUUGGACAAUGGGCGCAAGCCUGAUCCAGCCAUACCGCGUGGGUGAAGAAGGCCUUCGGGUUGUAAAGCCCUUUUAUUGGGAAAGAAAAGCAGCAGGUUAAUACCCCGCUGUUCUGACGGUACCCAAAGAAUAAGCACCGGCUAACUUCGCG
rnacentral:rRNA from 1 species